rnacentral:sRNA from 1 species
GCUGGGCGCGGUGAUGCACGCCUGUAAUUCCACAGGCCAGAAGGCUGAAACAGGGAGCCAGCCUCAGCAAAGGUGAGGCACUAAGCAACUCAGUGAGACCCUGUUUCUA